rnacentral:rRNA from 1 species
GACGAACGCUGGCGGCGUGCUUAACACCUGCAAGUCGAACGGAAAGGCCCUGCUUUUGUGGGGUGCUCGAGUGGCGAACGGGUGAGUAACACGUGAGUAACCUGCCCUUGACUUUGGGAUAACUUCAGGAAACUGGGGCUAAUACCGGAUAGGAGCUCCUGCUGCAUGGUGGGGGUUGGAAAGUUUCGGCGGUUGGGGAUGGACUCGCGGCUUAUCAGCUUGUUGGUGGGGUAGUGGCUUACCAAGGCUUUGACGGGUAGCCGGCCUGAGAGGGUGACCGGCCACAUUGGGACUGAGAUACGGCCCAGACUCCUACGGGAGGCAGCAGUGGGGAAUAUUGCACAAUGGGCGGAAGCCUGAUGCAGCAACGCCGCGUGCGGGAUGACGGCCUUCGGGUUGUAAACCGCUUUCGCCUGUGACGAGGCGUGAGUGACGGUAAUGGGUAAAGAAGCACCGGCUAACUACGUGCCAGCAGCCGCGGUGAUACGUAGGGUGCGAGCGUUGUCCGGAUUUAUUGGGCGUAAAGGGCUCGUAGGUGGUUGAUCGCGUCGGAAGUGUAAUCUUGGGGCUUAACCCUGGGCGUGCUUUCGAUACGGGUUGACUUGAGGAAGGUAGGGGAGAAUGGAAUUCCUGGUGGGGCGGUGGAAUGCGCAGAUAUCAGGAGGAACACCAGUGGCGAAGGCGGUUCUCUGGGCCUUUUCUGACGCUGAGGAGCGAAAGCGUGGGGAGCGAACAGGCUUAGAUACCCUGGUAGUCCACGCUGUAAACGGUGGGUACUAGGUGUGGGGUCCAUUCCACGGGUUCCGUGCCGUAGCUAACGCUUUAAGUACCCCGCCUGGGGAGUACGGCCGCAAGGCUAAAACUCAAAGGAAUUGAUGGGGCCCCGCACAAGCGGCGGAGCAUGCGGAUUAAUUCGAUGCAACGCGUAGAACCUUACCUGGGUUUGACAUGGAUCGGGAGUGCUCAGAGAUGGGUGUGCCUCUUUUGGGGUCGGUUCACAGGUGGUGCAUGGCUGUCGUCAGCUCGUGUCGUGAGAUGUUGGGUUAAGUCCCGCAACGAGCGCAACCCUUGUUCACUGUUGCCAGCACGUUAUGGUGGGGACUCAGUGGAGACCGCCGGGGUCAACUCGGAGGAAGGUGGGGAUGACGUCAAGUCAUCAUGCCCCUUAUGUCCAGGGCUUCACGCAUGCUACAAUGGCUGGUACAGAGAGUGGCGAGCCUGUGAGGGUGAGCGAAUCUCGGAAAGCCGGUCUCAGUUCGGAUUGGGGUCUGCAACUCGACCUCAUGAAGUCGGAGUCGCUAGUAAUCGCAGAUCAGCAACGCUGCGGUAAAUACGUUCCCGGG